rnacentral:lncRNA from 1 species
UAUGCAUCCAUGUCGGGGGUUAGGGAAGAGUGCCAGAUAACCAGACAGUCCUGUUCCCAGUGGGAAGUCAAUGGAAAAUAUCCACAACCGAAAAUCAAGAAAAAGGACAGGUCUCAGUUUUCUGAUCUGUAACUUGGGACUGAUACCAUGGAUGGGAUGGCUGGGAAAACGGAGCGCGAUGGUGCAUGUGGAAAACCUCGCUCUUACAAGG